AGUGUCAAAAAUUACACCAAUUUUGCAAGAAAUACCUGAAACUAAACCAUUUUUUUCAAAAUAUGACAAGUGACAACUAAAAAUCUUUUUAUAAUUGUAAUGUUGAUCUCGAAAAUAACGAACACAGAACAGAUGUAUCCCAGACAAAAAAUCUACGUUAUCGAAAGAUAAAAUGUAUUAAACGAACACAUUGAUACAAGCUGAAGAUAAAAAAUAAUGAGCCUAAUGUAGUUUUACUCCAUUAGUCUAUCAUCAAAAUAAGACUAUAUUCGUCGUGGAGCUUUUGGCUCAGGGUGACGCAAAUAUCCGAAAAUAUAAGGAAAACCUCAGAGUAAUGAUAUUCUUUAUUACUCUGAGAGGAAAACAGGAUAAAAUAUCGGGAUCUGCUCUCGUAACCCCGCAAAUUCUACUUCUCAACAACUCUGUAGUAGUUCUGAUUGUUGAAAUUCUUGGUGAAAAAAAAAGCAGGAGGCCAUUAUUUCGGCUUCUCAGGAUGAGUAAAAUAUUUUUCCUCUGUGAUCACACUCAGCGGUGUGGUCAUUGGUUAAUGAUGCUGGCGCGCCCUCUAGAGUGUAUGGGGACUAAAAGGAGGUUCAACUGAAUCAAUGUCCUUGGAAAAAGAAAAUUAUUUUAUAAAGCUGCAGGUACCAAAAAUUAUGAGGACAGAAUGAAAUUGGCUGUUGCAGCAAAUAUCUUUUCACAGAUAUCUUGAGUUUACUUACUAGAAGAUGUUUCAAUGUCAAUUGGUAAUGCAUUGAAGAGUUUUUAACCAUUAUAGAGUGUUUUUUUUGAAGAAGGGUAUUUAGCAAGAUGGGCAUCUAACAUUUCCAUAAUGAACCCUUGCUGGUUGCACAGAAAGAUCAAAUAGGUUCACUCCUUUUGGAUCUAAACGUUUCAGAAGAUUCAAUUUAACUUGAAUGGGCCUUUACACUGAAAUAGGGAUAACCGCCAAAGGUGAAAAAUUCCAGUCCAACUGAGGAUGAUACUAUGUAGUGAAACGUGUAUUGGAAAUCAAGUCUAUAUUGUGAAAAUUUGUGUAAUUAUCAUCAUGGAUCGUGUUAACAUUGUAUAUGAACUUGGCAACUUGCAUAAUAUACUUUUUUCUUUUUCCUG